GAUGAACGCUAGCUACAGGCUUAACACAUGCAAGUCGAGGGGCAGCAUUUCAGUUUGCUUGCAAACUGGAGAUGGCGACCGGCGCACGGGUGAGUAACACGUAUCCAACCUGCCGAUAACUCGGGGAUAGCCUUUCGAAAGAAAGAUUAAUACCCGAUGGUAUAAUCAGACCGCAUGGUCUUGUUAUUAAAGAAUUUCGGUUAUCGAUGGGGAUGCGUUCCAUUAGGCAGUUGGUGAGGUAACGGCUCACCAAACCUUCGAUGGAUAGGGGUUCUGAGAGGAAGGUCCCCCACAUUGGAACUGAGACACGGUCCAAACUCCUACGGGAGGCAGCAGUGAGGAAUAUUGGUCAAUGGGCGCAGGCCUGAACCAGCCAAGUAGCGUGAAGGAUGACUGCCCUAUGGGUUGCAAACUUCUUUUAUAUGGGAAUAAAGUUUUCCACGUGUGGAAUUUUGUAUGUACCAUAUGAAUAAGGAUCGGCUAACUCCGUGCCAGCAGCCGCGGUAAUACGGAGGAUCCGAGCGUUAUCCGGAUUUAUUGGGUUUAAAGGGAGCGUAGGUGGACAGUUAAGUCAGUUGUGAAAGUUUGCGGCUCAACCGUAAAAUUGCAGUUGAUACUGGCUGUCUUGAGUACAGUAGAGGUGGGCGGAAUUCGUGGUGUAGCGGUGAAAUGCUUAGAUAUCACGAAGAACUCCGAUUGCGAAGGCAGCUCACUGGACUGCAACUGACACUGAUGCUCGAAAGUGUAGGUAUCAAACAGG
rnacentral:rRNA from 1 species